rnacentral:rRNA from 1 species
CUACGGGGCGCUCCAGUGGGGAAUAUUGCACAAUGGGCGCAAGCCUGAUGCAGCCAUGCCGCGUGUAUGAAGAAGGCCUUCGGGUUGUAAAGUACUUUCAGCGGGGAGGAAGGGAUUAAAGUUAAUACCUUUGUUCCUUGACGUUACCCGCAGAGGAAGCACCGGCUAACUCCGUGCCAGCAGCCGCGGUAAUACGGAGGGUGCAAGCGUUAAUCGGAAUUACUGGGCGUAAAGCGCACGCAGGCGGUUUGUUAAGUCAGAUGUGAAAUCCCCGGGCUCAACCUGGGAACUGCAUCGGAUACUGGCAAGCUUGAGUCUAGUAGAGGGGGGUAGAAUUCCAGGUGUAGCGGUGAAAUGCGUAGAGAUCUGGAGGAAUACCGGUGGCGAAGGCGGCCCCCUGGACGAAGACUGACGCUCAGGUGCGAAAGCGUGGGGAGCAAACAGGAUUAGAUACCCCUGUAGUC